GGCGAUCGCUGGCGGCGUGCUUAACACAUGCAAGUCGAACGGAAAGGCCCUGCUUUUGUGGGGUGCUCGAGUGGCGAACGGGUGAGUAACACGUGAGUAACCUGCCCUUGACUUUGGGAUAACUUCAGGAAACUGGGGCUAAUACCGGAUAGGAGCUCCUGCUGCAUGGUGGGGGUUGGAAAGUUUCGGCGGUUGGGGAUGGACUCGCGGCUUAUCAGCUUGUUGGUGGGGUAGUGGCUUACCAAGGCUUUGACGGGUAGCCGGCCUGAGAGGGUGACCGGCCACAUUGGGACUGAGAUACGGCCCAGACUCCUACGGGAGGCGGCAGUGGGGAAUAUUGCACAAUGGGCGGAAGCCUGAUGCAGCAACGCCGCGUGCGGGAUGACGGCCUUCGGGUUGUAAACCGCUUUCGCCUGUGACGAAGCGUGAGUGACGGUAAUGGGUAAAGAAGCACCGGCUAACUACGUG
rnacentral:rRNA from 1 species